AUUGAACGCUGGCGGCAGGCCUAACACAUGCAAGUCGAACGGUAACAGGAAGCAGCUUGCUGCUUCGCUGACGAGUGGCGGACGGGUGAGUAAUGUCUGGGAAACUGCCUGAUGGAGGGGGACAACUACUGGAAACGGUAGCUAAUACCGCAUAACGUCGCAAGACCAAAGAGGGGGACCUUCGGGCCUCUUGCCAUCGGAUGUGCCCAGAUGGGAUUAGCUAGUAGGUGGGGUAACGGCUCACCUAGGCGACGAUCCCUAGCUGGUCUGGGAGGAUGACCAGCCACACUGGAACUGAGACACGGUCCAGACUCCUACGGGAGGCAGCAGUGGGGAAUAUUGCACAAUGGGCGCAAGCCUGAUGCAGCCAUGCCGCGUGUAUGAAGAAGGCCUUCGGGUUGUAAAGUACUUUCAGCGGGGAGGAAGGCGAUAAGGUUAAUAACCUUGUCGAUUGACGUUACCCGCAGAAGAAGCACCGGCCAACUCCGUGCCAGCCGCCGCGGUAAUAC
rnacentral:rRNA from 1 species